rnacentral:rRNA from 1 species
GAUGAAUGCUGGCGGCGUGCCUAAUACAUGCAAGUCGAGCGGUAAGGCCCUUCGGGGUACACGAGCGGCGGACGGCUGAGUAACGCGUGGGAACAUGCCCCAAAGUGAGGGAUAACGCACCGAAAGGUGUGCUAAUACCGCAUAUGGUCUUCGGAUUAAAGGAUUUAUCCGCUUUGGGAGUGGCCCGCGUACGAUUAGAUUGUUGGUGAGGUAACGGCUCACCAAGUCGACGAUCGUUAACUGGUCUGAGAGGAUGAUCAGUCAGACUGGAACUGGGACACGGUCCAGACUCCUACGGGAGGCAGCAGUAAGGAAUCUUCCACAAUGGGCGAAAGCCUGAUGGAGCAACGCCGCGUGCAGGAUGAAGGCCCUCGGGUCGUAAACUGCUUUUAUGAGUGAAGAAUAUGACGGUAACUCAUGAAUAAGCACCGGCUAACUACGUGCCAGCAGCCGCCGUAAC